AAAACUUAUGUUCACACUAAAAUCUAUACACGAAUGUUUAUAGCAACUUUAUUCAUAAUAGCCCCAAAUUGGAAACAACCCAAAAGUCCCUCAAAGGGUGUAUGAUUAAGCAAAUGGCAGUACGUCCAUACCGUGGAAUAGUACUCAGCAAUAAAAAAAGGACAGACAGUUGAUACAUAGUAUAAUUUGGAUGGCUCUCAAGGGAAUUACGCUGAGUGAUAAAAAGCCAAAUUUCAAGAGAUUACAUAGCAUAUGAUUCCAUUUAUAUAACCCUCUUGAAAUGAUAACGUUAGAGAUGGAGAACAGAUUUACGGUUGCCAGCGGCUUCCAGGGGAUGAGCUGGGUGGAGAGACGGCUCUGACUACAAAAAGGCAGCAUGAGGGAUCCUUCUGAAGGGACCGUUGUGUGUUAACUGUGGGUGGCAGUGGCCACACAAUCGACAUGUUGAAAAAUUGCACAGAACUAAAUACACACAUAUACACGCAUGCAAAUGAGUGCAUGUGACACUGGGGAAAUCUGAAUACUGUUGGUGGAUCUUAUCAGUGUCAAUUUUCUGUUGUGACAUUGUAAUAUGCAAGUUGGUAUCAUUGGGGGAAAGUAGGUGAAGGGUAAACAGGAUCCCUCUGCAUUGUUUCUUACAACUAUAUAUGUAUUUACUAUUAUCUCAAAAUAAAAAGUUUUUUAAAAGGGCAUGCCUGUGUAAUAUGUAGAGUGGACUCAAAACUCCUGACGUUUCCGUGAAAUGAAUGGCAUGAUUCUGGGUGAGCCAAGGCAUAGAGAAUUGGAAAUGGCACCCAGAACUUGUGGUCUCGUGUCUCCCACGAGGGAUGAGCAGCUGGAUCAGUUGGUAAGGGAGAUCUUGCAGGACAUAGAGGGAGCCACCAAGGCCAGCGUUGAUGCCUGGCUGUGCCAAACACACGAUAAGAUGUUCCACAAAGGAAAUGAUAAGUGCCCAGUGGUGGCACAGGCACCAAAUGCUACGGGGGCAGACAAAGGGGGCUCCUCAAGACAGGAGGGUCCGAGGAAGCUUCGUGGAGGAGGCAGUUCUUAAUAAGCACUGAGGGUGGGCUUGACCUACUGGCCCACUCCUAACAAAAAGAACACAGCAAAAGUGGUGGGAUGUCACUUCUGAGAGGAGGUUCCAAAGGACGGCGGCUUCCAUCUUGACAGUUCCUUCUCUCUCUCUGCCUCUCUCUCACUUUGUCAUUUUGACAAAGCCAGCUGCCAUGCUGUGAGACGCCCCAUGCAGAAGUGAUGUGGCAAGGAACCGGGGCCUGCCUCUGGCCAACAGCCAGAGGGGAGCUGGAUCCUACCAGUACCUGCUGAUGGAGCCUGGAAGUGGAUUUGGCCCCAGGUGAAAUUUGUUCUGACGUUGGUCCCAGACGAGCCCAGAGGGAGCCUCCAAGCCAGAGGACCCAGCUAAGCCAAGCCUUGACUCCUGAACCACAGAAACUGUGAGAUAAUAAACGCGUGUUGGUUUUUGCUGCUUAGUUUUGGGGUCAUUUGUCAUGCAACAAGAGAUAACUCACACAGGGGGUGGUGGCUCUCAUUAUCCAGCAGGUUAGCCCAGGCUUGUUCAUGUGAUGGCCACAGAGUUCCAAAGAGACAGCAGAAGUUUGGAAAACCUCUUGGGGUCCAGGCUCACAAUACAGUGUCACUUCUGCCAGAUUCUAUUGGCCAACACAAGUCCCAGACUCAGGGG
ensembl:lncRNA